AGGACCCUGAGGCAAACAUUGGUCAGCGAGGGGGAAUGAGUGAUAAAGACGUCGCCAAAGUGCGGAACAUGUACUUGUGUCAUGAAGAUGAGCAGUUGACUGAGGAGAAACAGGAAAAAUGCGUAACAAACAUGUUUGAUCAGUUCGUCUCAAUUCUAACAGAUCUCUACCAGGAUAACACUUAGCGGAAGCUUUUACUAAAGAUCAAUAUUUAUAACCUACUAGCAAAGUCUGUGCGCAAGAAAAUGUUAUACUGUUUCUGCCAGACCUUUGUUCAAGAAGAGCAGGACAUACACCGUCAGCGAUGAUGCUCAGCCCUAAGUCUGAGGGUUUCAUGCACUGAUUUUGAUUCAAAGUAUGAAGAAUGAAGAAGGAUCAUAAAAUGAAGAUUUGAUAUUUUCAGUUUUGUAUUUUGCAGAUUUGCAAUUUGAAAGGAAAUAAAUAACUUUUUUGUCAUUCAACCGCCAAAAA